UAAACUAGGAUUAGAUACCCUAUUAUUGAAAAUGUAAAGUCUUAUAUCAGAGUAGUAGUAGUUAUGUUCUUGAAAUUUUAAGGAUUUGGCGGUAUUUUAGUCUUUUCAGAGGAACCUGUUCUGUAAUUGAUAGUCCACGAUUAAUUAUACUUAUUUUAGAGAUUUGUAUAUCGUUGUAGGUGGAAUGUUUUAGAAGAAUUAUUAAAUGUUCAAGAUUUAUUAUUAUAAUGGAAAUCAGAUCAAGGUGCAGUGUAUAGAUAAGUAGAAAUGGGUUACAAUAAAUUUAUUUAGAUGGUUAAAAUAACUAACAUUAUUAUAUAAAUUGGAUUUGAAAGUAAUAUAAUUUAGUUAAAUUAUAUGAUUAAAGCUCUAAAAUAUGUACAUAUCGCCCGUCGCUCCUGCUUUAAAGUAGGAUAAGUCGUAACAUAGUAGGAGUACUGGAAAGUGUUCCUAGAUUGUCAAAUUAGAGCUUGUUAUAAAGCAUUUUAUUUACAUUAAAGAGUUAGUUGUGAAAAUCAAUUUAAUUUGAUAAUUUAUAAUUUAUAUAAUAUUAUAAAAAAAAAAAUUUUAUUAUUAUUAUUUUAUUAGAAAAUAGAUAAUUAAAUUAUAGUUUAUUAGUACCGUUAGGGAAUAGAUGAAAUAUUGGGAAGCUUAAAUUUUAAUAAAGAAGGAUUAGAUUUUUGUACCUUGUGUCUCAGGGUUUAUUAAAAAUAGAUUAAAAAUUUAAUAUUCUCGAAUUUUUAAGAGCUAAUAAUUUAUAUAUUUAAUUGUGAAAUAAAUUUUUUUAAUAGGUUAUUAGAAAUGAAACGUUAGGCGUUUAAGAAGAUAUCUAGUUUUUAAAGAAAUAAAUUUAAUUUAGUUUUUUAAGUUUAUAAUAUUAAUUUAUUAAUAUUAUAUUAUGAAAGAUAAAAAUUUUAAGGGAUAAGCUUUAGAAUUUAGUAUUUAAAAAUUAAGAUUAUUUUAUAAAAGUAAUAGAAUUAGAAGUUUUAAUUUUUUAAUGUGUUAUAAUUAAUUUUAUUUAUAUAUUAUGAUUUAUAUUAGUUUUAAAUUUUUUAUUUAAAGAAUUUAUUUAAUUUUGUUAUAAAGGUAAUUAUGAUUAAAUUAGUAUAAUUUAUUUUAAUAUUGAAUUAUAUAAUUAAGGUUAAUUUAAGGAAUUCGGCAAAGGAUUUUUCGCCUGUUUAUUAAAAACAUGUCCUUUUGAUUAUAAUUUAAGGUCUAGCCUGCCCACUGAGGAUUUAAAUGGCCGCGGUAUUUUGACCGUGCAAAGGUAGCAUAAUAAUUAGUUUUUUAAUUGAAAGCUGGAAUGAAUGGUUGGACGAGAAAAUAACUGUCUUAGUUUAAUUUAAUUAGAAUUUUAUUUUUAAGUAAAAAAGCUUAAAUUUUAUUAAAAGACGAGAAGACCCUAUAGAGUUUUAUAUUUUAGUUUUAUUAGAAUUAUAUAGUUUAUUUAUUUUUUAAUGAUUUAAAAUAUUUUGUUGGGGUGAUGGAAAAAUUUAAUAAACUUUUUUUUAUUAGUAUUCACUAAUUAGUGUUUUAUUGAUCCAUUAUUAAUGAUUAUAAGAUUAAAUUACCUUAGGGAUAACAGCGUAAUUAUUUUUGAGAGUUCUUAUCGAAAAAAUAGUUUGCGACCUCGAUGUUGGAUUAAAAUUAAUAUUUGGUGUAGGGGCUAAAUAAUUAGGUCUGUUCGACCUUUAAAAUUUUACAUGAUCUGAG
rnacentral:rRNA from 1 species